ACUAUACACAUCAUUGCUAUCAGCUGGCAGAGGCUGGAGGGGAGAAAACCGCAGCGAACUACUACCAAACAACAUUGUUAGUCUUCGAGACAAGGGCGAAACGACCUGGGGAAUAGUUACAGGGGAUGAAUAAGGCAAUUGUAAACUGGGGAUUAUUAGGUGACCGUGAUGGUUUGAUGGCCAGAUUGGGAAUUUAGCCAGGACACCGGGGUUAACACCCCUACUCUUACAAUAAGAGCCAUGGGAUCUUUAAUGACAGAGAGUCAGGACACCCGUUUAACGUACCAUCCAGAAGACAGCACCCUACAAAGGGCAGUGUCCCCAAUCACUGGCCUGGGGAAUUGGGAUAUUUUUUAGACCAGAGGAAAGAGUGCCUCCUACUGGCCCUCCAACACCACUUCCAGCAGCAUCUGGUCUCCCAUCCAGGAACUGACCAGUACCAACCCUGCUUAGCUUCAGUAGCAAGCCAGCAGUGGUGUGCAGGGUGGUAUGCAGGGUAGUUUGCUGCUGGCCAAUGACCAAAAGAGACCAGAAGAGGGCAGUCAUGUUCUACCAAAGACAGAACAACAUCAAUUCCUGCCUCAAACCAUAUCCAUCAUAAAGCUCUAGAGGAAGACAUGAGGGGCCUGUAACUCUAACACCCUGCACCGCAGAGCUCAACCGUGUUGUGUGUCAUCAGUUCCAGUCCCUCCUCAGUAAUUCUCGAUCAUGGGAGCCCUUUUUCACAGCCAAGACUGUUUGCAUGAUUUCCAUUGAAAUGAGUAUGUGCACUUCAUGGGAACCGAAUGAAAGGAAACGCAGUCAAAACACAGACAGCAUCGGUGAAGAGUCAGGAGUCAAGAGUCCCUGGACCACUGACAACAAACCCCACGCUGUCAGGACCUGAGCCCUAGGACCAUGCCCCAGGACUACCUGACAUGAUGACUCCCUGCUGUCCCCAGUCCACCUGGCCGUGCUGCUGCUCCAGUUUCAACUGUUCUGCCUUAUUAUUAUUCAAGCAUGCUGAUCAUUUAUGAACAUUUGAACAUCUUGGCCAUGUUCUGUUAUAAUCUCCACCCGGCACAGCCAGAAGAGGACUGGCCACCCCACAUAUGCUCUCUCUAAUUCUCUCUUUCUUUCUCUCUCUUGGAGGACCUGAGCCCUAGGACCAUGCCCCAGGACUACCUGACAUGAUGACUCCUUGCUGUCCCCAGUCCACCUAACCGUGCUGCUGCUCCAGUUUCAACUGUUCUGCGUUAUUAUUAUUCGACCAUGCUGGUCAUUUAUGAACAUUUGAACAUCUUGGCCAUGUUCUGUUAUAAUCUCCACCCGGCACAGCCAGAAGAGGACUGGCCACCCCACAUAGCCUGGUUCCUCUCUAGGUUUCUUCCUAGGUUUUGGCCUUUCUAGGGAGUUUUUCCUAGCCACCGUGCGUCUAC